AUUAAGAUAUAUUGGGUUUAAAAAUUGCAAUUUUUUUUUAUUUUCUUAAUU
rnacentral:tRNA from 1 species